rnacentral:misc_RNA from 1 species
GAUGAAGAACGCAGCGAAAUGCGAUAAGUAAUGUGAAUUGCAGAAUUCCGUGAAUCAUCGAAUCUUUGAACGCACAUUGCGCCCGCCAGUAUUCUGGCGGGCAUGCCUGUUCGAGCGUCAUUUCAACCCUCAAGCCCUCGGGUUUGGUGUUGGGGAUCGGCGAGCCUUUCUGGCAAGCCGGCCCCGAAAUCUAGUGGCGGUCUCGCUGCAGCCUCCAUUGCGUAGUAGUAAAACCCUCGCAACUGGAACGCGGCGCGGCCAAGCCGUUAAACCCCCAACUUCUGAAUGUUGACCUCGGAUCAGGUAGGAAUACCCGCUGAACUUAAGCAUAUCAAUAAGCGGAGGA